UACGAAGGGGGGCUAGCGUUGCUCGGAAUCACUGGGCGUAAAGCGCACGUAGGCGGACUCUUAAGUCGGUGGUGAAAUCCUGGAGCUCAACUCCAGAACUGCCUUCGAUACUGAGAGUCUCGAGUCCGAGAGAGGUGAGUGGAACUGCGAGUGUAGAGGUGAAAUUCGUAGAUAUUCGCAAGAACACCAGUGGCGAAGGCGGCUCUCUGGGACGGUACUGACGCUGAGACGCGAAAGCGUGGGGAGCGAACAGG
rnacentral:rRNA from 1 species